rnacentral:rRNA from 1 species
UACAGAGGUCUCAAGCGUUGUUCGGAUUCAUUGGGCGUAAAGGGUGCGUAGGCGGCGCGGUAAGUCGGGUGUGAAAUCUCGGAGCUUAACUCCGAAACUGCAUUCGAUACUGCCGUGCUUGAGGACUGGAGAGGAGACUGGAAUUUACGGUGUAGCGGUGAAAUGCGUAGAGAUGUGGAGGAAUACCGAUGGCGAAGGCAGCCUCCUGGGCCAACACUGACGCUCAUGCACGAAAGCGUGGGGAGCAAACAGG